rnacentral:rRNA from 1 species
UACGGAGGGUGCAAGCGUUGUCCGGAUUUAUUGGGUUUAAAGGGUGCGUAGGCGGCCCUGUAAGUCAGUGGUGAAAUACUGCAGCUUAACUGUAGCAUUGCCAUUGAUACUGUAGGGCUUAGUACAGAUGAGGUAGGCGGAAUUGAUGGUGUAGCGGUGAAAUGCAUAGAUACCAUCAAGAACACCGAUUGCGAAGGCAGCUUACUAAGCUGUAACUGACGCUGAGGCACGAAAGCGUGGGGAUCGAACAGG